rnacentral:misc_RNA from 1 species
CAGAGUUGCAAAACUCCCACAAACCAUCGCGAAUCUUACCCGUACGGUUGCCUCGGCGCUGGCGGUCCGGAAGGCCUCGGGCCCCCCGGAUCCUCGGGUCUCCCGCUCGCGGGAGGCUGCCCGCCGGAGUGCCGAAACCAAACUCUUGAUAUUUAUGUCUCUCUGAGUAAACUUUUAAAUAAGUCA